rnacentral:rRNA from 1 species
AUGCUGAGGUUACUGAUCAUCUGGGCUGCGAUCUUGGGCUGCUGCCAUGGGCAGUCCGAAGUGUCCCGGAGGAACAGCCGCCUGAAGGUGAUGUCACCGCCGGAGCUCGAGGCCACAUACGACUUUGCCAUUGCCGACUUCGGUUUCCCGCAUCACGGUGGCUCCAUGACUGGCGUGGUGGUGUACCCAAGACACAACGGGCAGGCUUGCGGCGACUUCGAUGAAUAUGGCAUCUCUCUCCGUUCUCGCCGAGCUGGCGCACUUCCUGUUUUCUUGCUCGUCGACAGAGGAGAGUGUUUCUUCGCAACCAAGGUGAGGAAUGGGCAGAAAGCCGGAGCAGCAGCAGUUCUUGUUGCUGAUACAAAACUUGAGCCAUUAUUUGCAAUAGAAGGAGCAGAAAGCAGAAGCGCAAGCAAAACAGAUGCUUUAGAGGAUAUCACCAUUCCUUCGGCACUAAUAACCAAAAACCUGGGGGACAGUCUCAAGAAAGCAAUGGAUAAUGGCGACUUGGUUAAUGUUAACUUGGACUGGGGGGAGUCCCGACCGUACCCUAAUGAGCGUGCUGAGUAUGAAUUUUGGACAAAUAGUAUUGAUGAAUGUGGUCCAAAAUGCGAUAACCAGGUUGAUUUCCUGAAGAGAUUCAAAGGUGUAGCGCAAACACUCGAGAAGAAGGGCUACACGCAGUUCACUCCUCAUUACAUUACUUGGUAUUGCCCAGAGAACUUUGUCUUAAGCAAGCAGUGCAAGUCCCAAUGUAUCAACCAUGGGAGGUAUUGUGCACCAGACCCGGAACAAGGUUCCAGCAAAGGGUACAAUGGGAGAGAUGUGGUGAUUCAAAAUUUAUAUCAAAUUUGUGUGUUCAAAGUUUCAAAGAAGACUGGGAAGCCUUGGUUAUGGUGGGACUAUGUGACUCAUUUUUCUAUUAUGUGCCCAAUGAAGAAAAAGAUGUACACUCAUGAAUGUGCUUCCGGAGUAAUCAGAUCACUUGGCCUUAGUCAAAAAGCAGUUGAGAUGUGUGUUGGUGAUCCUGACAUGGACGAGGAUCAUCCUGUGCUAAAAGAUGAGCAAGAUGCACAGAUUGGCAAGGGUUCUCACAGUGAUGUUACUAUGUUACCAACACUUGUAAUCAACAAUAGACAAUACAGAGGGAAACUUGAAAAAGGAGCAGUUCUUAGAGCUCUCUGCGCCAGCUUUCGAGAAAAUAGUGAACCAUCUAUUUGCUCAAAUGAAGAAGAAGACAUACAAACCAAUCAAUGCUUGGACAACAAUGGUGGUUGCUGGCAAGAUAUGGCUGCUAACGUGACUGCAUGCAAGGACACCUCCACUGGAACAAUUUGUGAAUGUCCAGUUUUUCAAGGUGUGAAGUACAUUGGUGAUGGUUACAACCACUGUGAAGCUCGCAUGGAUGUCCAGCGAGGGACCAACAGUCAAGACCGGCCUCGGCAGAUCAAGAACCAUGAGACCAAAAAAACAAAGAUAGAGGUUGCCCACGAGGUCAUUUACAACCUCUUUUUAGGCAUACAGAAGUUGGCACACAAGGUGUUCUAG